rnacentral:rRNA from 1 species
UUGUUGCCCUGCUAUGGUAUAUUUAGUGGCAGACGGGUGAGUAAAGUAUAGGAAUCUACCUAGUAGUAGGGAUAAUUGUGGAAACGACAACUAAUACUGUAUACGCCCUACGGGGGAAAAAUUUAUUGCUAUCAGAUGAGCCUAUAUUAGAUUAGCUAGUUGGUGGGGUAAUAGCCUACCAAGGUAAUGAUCUAUAGCUGAUCUGAGAGGAUGAUCAGCCACACCGGAACUGAGAUACGGUCCAGACUCCUACGGGAGGCAGCAGUGGGGAAUAUUGGACAAUGGGCGAAAGCCUGAUCCAGCCAUGCCGCAUGAGUGAAGAAGGCCUUUGGGUUGUAAAGCUCUUUUAGUGAGGAAGAUAAUGACGGUACUCACAGAAGAAGUCCUGGCUAACUCCGUGCCAGCAGCCGCGGUAAUACGGAGAGGGCUAGCGUUAUUUGGAAUUAUUGGGCGUAAAGGGCGCGUAGGCUGGUUAAUAAGUUAAAAGUGAAAUCCCGAGGCUUAACCUUGGAAUUGCUUUUAAAACUAUUAAUCUAGAGAUUGAAAGAGGAUAGGGGAAUUCCUGAUGUAGAGGUAAAAUUCGUAAAUAUUAGGAGGAACACCAGUGGCGAAGGCGUCUAUCUGGUUCAAAUCUGACGCUGAAGCGCGAAGGCGUGGGGAGCAAACAGGAUUAGAUACCCUGGUAGUCCACGCUGUAAACGAUGAAUGUUAAAUAUGGGGAGUUUACUUUCUGUAUUACAGCUAACGCGUUAAACAUUCCGCCUGGGGACUACGGUCGCAAGAUUAAAACUCAAAGGAAUUGACGGGGACCCGCACAAGCGGUGGAGCAUGUGGUUAAUCGAUGCAACGCGAAAACUGAGUCA